rnacentral:rRNA from 1 species
AGAAGACCCUGUGGAACUUUAAAAACAGCAACCACCCCAAUAUACAUCCACACCCAAGGCACUGGUUUGCAUUUUUUCGGUUGGGGCAACCUUGGAGCAAAAAAGAACCUCCAAAAAUGGGACCAUACAUCCAAACUAAGAGCAACGUCUCGAAGUGCAAAAAGCACCCAGAUCCAAUAUAAUUGAUCAAUGGACCAAGCUACCCCAGGGAUAACAGCGCAAUCUCCUCCAAGAGUCCAUAUCGACGGGGAGGUUUACGACCUCGAUGUUGGAUCAGGACAUCCUAGUGGUGCAGCCGCUACUAAGGGUUCGUUUGUUCAACGAUUAACAGUCCUACGUGAUCUGAGUUCAGACCGGAGUAAUCCAGGUCGGUUUCCAUCUAUGAUGAACUCUUCCCCGUACGAAAGGAUAGGAAAAGUGAGGCCAAUACCACAGGCAAGCCUUCGCCUUAAGUAAUGAAAUCAACUCAACUACGAAAGGCUAUCCCACCCCCCACGUCCAAGAAAAGGACAUCA